GAACAUAAGAGUUUGAUCCUGGCUCAGAUUGAACGCUGGCGGCAUGCUUUACACAUGCAAGUCGGACGGCAGCACAGAGAAGCUUGCUUCUUGGGUGGCGAGUGGCGAACGGGUGAGUAACAUAUCGGAACGUACCGAGUAGUGGGGGAUAACUGAUCGAAAGAUCAGCUAAUACCGCAUACGUCUUGAGAGGGAAAGCAGGGGACCUUCGGGCCUUGCGCUAUUCGAGCGGCCGAUAUCUGAUUAGCUAGUUGGUGGGGUAAAGGCCUACCAAGGCGACGAUCAGUAGCGGGUCUGAGAGGAUGAUCCGCCACACUGGGACUGAGACACGGCCCAGACUCCUACGGGAGGCAGCAGUGGGGAAUUUUGGACAAUGGGCGCAAGCCUGAUCCAGCCAUGCCGCGUGUCUGAAGAAGGCCUUCGGGUUGUAAAGGACUUUUGUCAGGGAAGAAAAGGCUGUUGCUAAUAUCAGCGGCUGAUGACGGUACCUGAAGAAUAAGCACCGGCUAACUACGUGCCAGCAGCCGCGGUAAUACGUAGGGUGCGAGCGUUAAUCGGAAUUACUGGGCGUAAAGCGGGCGCAGACGGUUACUUAAGCAGGAUGUGAAAUCCCCGGGCUCAACCCGGGAACUGCGUUCUGAACUGGGUGACUCGAGUGUGUCAGAGGGAGGUAGAAUUCCACGUGUAGCAGUGAAAUGCGUAGAGAUGUGGAGGAAUACCGAUGGCGAAGGCAGCCUCCUGGGACAACACUGACGUUCAUGCCCGAAAGCGUGGGUAGCAAACAGGAUUAGAUACCCUGGUAGUCCACGCCCUAAACGAUGUCAAUUAGCUGUUGGGCAACUUGAUUGCUUAGUAGCGUAGCUAACGCGUGAAAUUGACCGCCUGGGGAGUACGGUCGCAAGAUUAAAACUCAAAGGAAUUGACGGGGACCCGCACAAGCGGUGGAUGAUGUGGAUUAAUUCGAUGCAACGCGAAGAACCUUACCUGGUCUUGACAUGUACGGAAUCCUCCAGAGACGGAGGAGUGCCUUCGGGAGCCGUAACACAGGUGCUGCAUGGCUGUCGUCAGCUCGUGUCGUGAGAUGUUGGGUUAAGUCCCGCAACGAGCGCAACCCUUGUCAUUAGUUGCCAUCAUUCAGUUGGGCACUCUAAUGAGACUGCCGGUGACAAGCCGGAGGAAGGUGGGGAUGACGUCAAGUCCUCAUGGCCCUUAUGACCAGGGCUUCACACGUCAUACAAUGGUCGGUACAGAGGGUAGCCAAGCCGCGAGGCGGAGCCAAUCUCACAAAACCGAUCGUAGUCCGGAUUGCACUCUGCAACUCGAGUGCAUGAAGUCGGAAUCGCUAGUAAUCGCAGGUCAGCAUACUGCGGUGAAUACGUUCCCGGGUCUUGUACACACCGCCCGUCACACCAUGGGAGUGGGGGAUACCAGAAGUAGGUAGGGUAACCGCAAGGAGUCCGCUUACCACGGUAUGCUUCAUGACUGGGGUGAAGUCGUAACAAGGUAGCCGUAGGGGAACCUGCGGCUGGAUCACCUCCUUU
rnacentral:rRNA from 1 species